rnacentral:rRNA from 1 species
GUGCCAGCCGCCGCGGUAAUACGGAGGAUCCGAGCGUUAUCCGGAUUUAUUGGGUUUAAAGGGAGCGUAGGCGGAAGGUCAAGUCAGCUGUGAAAUGUAGUCGCUCAACGUCUGCACUGCAGUUGAAACUGGCCUCCUUGAGUGCGUAAGAGGCAGGCGGAAUUCGUCGUGUAGCGGUGAAAUGCUUAGAUAUGACGAAGAACUCCUAUUGCGAAGGCAGCUUGCUGGCCGCAACUGACGCUGAAGCUCGAAGGUGCGGGUAUCGAACAGGAUUAGAUACCCUGGUAGUCCGCACAGUAAACGAUGGAUACUCGCUGUCGGCGAUAUACGGUCGGUGGCCAAGCGAAAGCGUUAAGUAUCCCACCUGGGGAGUACGCCCGGCAACGGUGAAACUCAAAGGAAUUGACGGGGGCCCGCAACAAGCCGGAGGAACAUGUGGUUUAAUUUCGAUGAUACGCGAGGGAACCUUACCCGGGCUUGAAUUACUGGUGACGGUUGCUGGAGACAGCUUCCUUCCUUCGGGACACCCAGUGAAGGUGCUGCAUGGUUGUCGUCAGCUCGUGCCGUAAGGUGUCGGCUUAAGUGCCAUAACGAGCGCAACCCUUGCCGUUAGUUGCCAUCAGGUUAAGCUGGGCAUCUAGCGGGACUGCCAUCGUAAGAUGUGAGGAAGGUGGGGAUGACGUCUAAAUCAGCACGGCCCUUAUGUCCGGGGCGACACACGUGUUACAAUGGGGGGUACAGAGGGAAGCCACCUGGCGACAGGGCGCGGAUCCCGAAAUCCCUUCUCAGUUCGGAUCGGAGUCUGGAACUCGACUCCGUGAAGCUGGAUUCGCUAGUAAUCGCGCAUCAGCCAUGGCGCGGUGAAUACGUUCCCGGGCCUUGUACACACCGCCCGU